GCCAGUGUACAUGCACAGAAACAACAAAAACAAUUGUAGUCAGUGUGCCCACUGAUGGAUGCCUUCCUUGGUGUCUACAUUCUUCCCCGAAGAUAAAUGCAUCCAGGAAGAUGGUAACCCAUGGUAACCAUGAACUGUGUGAGGGAGGAAAAGUCCUUAGGAGGUGUGCGCAGUGUUUCCUUGGUACUGUGUAUCAUGUGCCUGCCUAAUGCCUGCAGAAGCCAGAAAAGAACAUUGGAGCCCCUGGGACUGGAGUUUACAGACAGUUGUGAGUUGUCGUGUGAGUGCGGGGAAUUGAACCCAAGUCCUCUGGAAGAUCAUCCAGUGCUCUUAACCUCUAAGCCUUCCUCUAUAUUUUAUAUUACUGAGAAUCUGAAAAUCCAUACCUAUCCUGUACCAUCCACUUGUAUUUUAAAGGAAACAUCUUUGUUCUCUUAAUCUCCAAAUCAAUAAAGAUUAUUGAGACAACAAUA